ACAGGUAUCCACCCUUAAUGAAGAACAGUCCUCAUUAUACAGGUAUCCACCCUUAAUGAAGAUCAUCAUUAUACAGGUAUCCACCCUUAAUGAAGAUCAUCAUUAUACAGGUAUCAACCCUUAAUGAAGAACAGUCCUCAUUAUACAGGUAUCCACCCUUAAUGAAGAUCAUCAUUAUACAGGUAUCUACCCUUAAUGAAGAACAGUCAUCAUUAUACA